rnacentral:rRNA from 1 species
CAGCAGCCGCGGGAAUACGGAGGGGGCUAGCGUUGUUCGGAAUUACUGGGCGUAAAGCGCACGUAGGCGGCUUUGUAAGUUAGAGGUGAAAGCCUGAGGCUCAACUCCAGAAUUGCCUUUAAGACUGCAUCGCUUAAACGUCGGAGAGGUGAGUGGAAUUCCGGGUGUAGAGGUGAAAUUCGUAGAUAUUCGGAAGAACACCAGUGGCGAGGGCGGCUCACUGGACGACUGUUGACACUGAGGUGCGAAAGCGUGGGGAGCAAACAGGAUUAGAUACCCCUGUAGUCCCUGUCUCUUAUAA